GGGCGUGUGGCGCAGUGGAUAGCGCGUUGGACUUCUAAUCCAAAGGUCAAGUGUUCGACCCACUUUACGCCCU